rnacentral:rRNA from 1 species
AUUGAACGCUGGCGGCAUGCUUUACACAUGCAAGUCGAACGGUAACAGGCCGCAAGGUGCUGACGAGUGGCGAACGGGUGAGUAAUGCAUCGGAACGUGCCCAGUCGUGGGGGAUAACGCAGCGAAAGCUGCGCUAAUACCGCAUACGAUCUAUGGAUGAAAGCGGGGGACCGUAAGGCCUCGCGCGACUGGAGCGGCCGAUGUCAGAUUAGGUAGUUGGUGGGGUAAAGGCUCACCAGGCCGACGAUCUGUAGCUGGUCUGAGAGGACGACCAGCCACACUGGGACUGAGAAACGGCCCAGACUCCUACGGGAGGCAGCAGUGGGGAAUUUUGGACAAUGGGGGCAACCCUGAUCCAGCAAUGCCGCGUGCAGGAAGAAGGCCUUCGGGUUGUAAACUGCUUUUGUACGGAACGAAACGGCUCUGGUUAAUACCUGGGGCUAAUGACGGUACCGUAAGAAUAAGCACCGGCUAACUACGUGCCAGCAGCCGCCGUAAUAC